AAGCCAGCGAUGAAUUUGCUUAUCUGUAUGUGUUUGUGCAGAAAUGUACCAAAAGCUGGAGAUAAUAAUGCCAUGUUACAAGCCUUAAAGACAUGUCAUUGAAGUCAUUAAGGUCCCUGAAAAUGGCUACAUUU
rnacentral:snoRNA from 13 species